rnacentral:pre_miRNA from 1 species
AGAGUACUCCCUCUGUUCGGAAUUACUUGUCGUAGAAAUGGAUGUAUCUAGACGUAUUUUAGUUCUAGAUACAUCCAUUUCCGAGACAAGUAAUUCCGAAUGGAGGGAGUAGAUA